GAGGGUAUAGCUCAGUGGUAAAGCACCUGUUUAGCAAGCAUGAGGUCCUGGUUUCAAUGCCCAGUACCUCUG
rnacentral:tRNA from 1 species